AAUAUAAAAUUAGACGAACAUUAAAUUUAAAAUAUAACAACUAAAUACACAUUUACCCUCAAAUAAAAUUAGUCGAGCGUUUGUUCCCAUCACAUUUCUAGUUAUAGAUCUGCUAGCAAUUCCAAAAACACGCUAGUCGAAAGGAAGCCAGUUAGCUGUUGAUACUUGGUAGUAUCGCCGCGGAAUUCCACUAGUUUUUUCUCUCCAAAUUCCAAUGCUCUGGUGUUUGCAUGGGAAAGUGCCAAACACUUACGAUGAAAGAGAAAUAAAAAUCGAUGGUUACCGCUCAAACGAAUAAAAAAUAAAUAAAAAGGGAGAGAGAGAGAGAGAGAGAGAGAAAAGAGUUAUAGUGAAUGGCCCAGCCCAGGGCGCUCGACUUGGUGUACGGAAGCAGUAAUGACUGUUCGGAAAGGUCCCAACUCAAGCCAACCACGUGGAGAAACAAGAGGUGAGGGUUAUUUGUGACAGAGACAACAUGAUCGCUAGACGGUAAAUGAAUCUCCAGCCAGAAAAUGGGGUCCCCAAACGAAACAGCUGUGAAAGAAGAGAAAAGGACAAGACUAAGCCUAUGAUAAUAGCCAUUAGGUGUAAUGAACGUAAAACAUAGGAUGGUAGUGUAAAUUAGCUGUGUUGUCGUAAAUUUCCUGACAUGUAGGGCGGCGCCGUAAAUGAUUGCAACAUAUAUGUGCAAGCUGUGGGGAGAGCCGAAGAGAUGGAGAGAGAGGGAAAGAGACCUUUAAUGGGGAUGGCCAUUGCGUUACUAAGUCGCUUUCAACCUGCUACAGUUCUGCUGCUGCUGCAACCACCGGGCUAGCUACUGUCAAGUGUCAACAUGGCUACGACUGUCAACAUUGACGACGAAGUUUCACCUCUUUUUACACAAUGAAUGUUCGUGUUUCCCUGCUCUGCCCACUGACUUCCUUUAGGGUGAGUUUAGUUACGAAAUCUAUCCAAUAAUACUGUAUUUACGGUGUGUUUACUUCAUAGAAUGAAUAAUUAAAAUAAAUUAACGGUAUGUUUAUUUUAUAAAAUGAUGGUGAGGAUGAGGGUGAGAAUGAUAUUUUAAUAUUUAUUUAAUAAAAAUAAAU
rnacentral:lncRNA from 1 species